rnacentral:SRP_RNA from 1 species
CGGUGGGUCUUAGGCGGGGGGCUAGGGGUCCCUUGCACCGUAAACCCUCUAUAUGACGGGCCGAAAGCUGAGGCUGAGGCGCCUAAGGUCGCUGAGACCCUCAUUUCCGAAGCGAAGACUAUCCGUCCUUUGGGGCUGGCGGUCGUUGAGCAGCUUUCGUAGGAGAGCUGUCUUCAGUGUUUGCCAGGUGAAUCCGGCCAGGCCCGGGAGGGAGCAACCUAAGUCUGGGCGUUCAGCGCUCAAGGGGGCGCGGGUACGAGCAUAGGGCUUGAGGGCUAGGCGGAUUCUGGGCGUCAAACCCCAGUGGCCUGCCG